GCAGCAGGAGUGGGGGGAGGCCAAGCAAGGGGCGCGCCAGCUCUGUUGGUCUCGACGGCGGCGGCG
rnacentral:ribozyme from 1 species